GUUGGUGACCAGCGGAGGGAUCAUUAGAGGAAUACCCAAAACCUCCCAACCCCUGUGAACUUAC
rnacentral:rRNA from 1 species